rnacentral:rRNA from 1 species
CGUCUAUAUACGUAUAGCAUAUCAAUAAGCGGAGGAAAAGAAACUAACAAGGAUUCCCUUAGUAACGGCGAGUGAAGCGGGAAGAGCUCAAAUUUGAAAUCUUCAAGGUUCUACCUUGACAAAUUGUAGUUUAUAGAAGUGUUUUCUGUUAGUGGAGUGGCAAAAGUUCUUUGGAAUAGGACAUCAUAGAGGGUGAGAAUCCCGUAUUUGGUCAUUCCUCCUAGCGUUGUGAUACACUUUCAACGAGUCGGAUUGUUUGGGAAUGCAGUCCGAAAUGGGUGGUAAAUUUCAUCUAAAGCUAAAUAUUGGCGAGAGACCGAUAGCGAACAAGUACCGUGAGGGAAAGAUGAAAAGAACUUUGAAGAGAGAGUUAAACAGUACGUGAAAUUGUCAAAAGGGAAGCGUUUGACACCAGUGUUGUUUAGUUGAAAAUCAAUUAAAUAAUUUGUGAUUUUGAGUAGUAUUGACUUCAUCAGCUUGCUGCUUUCUUUUCAGGAAUUAUUGAAUGCACCUUUCAGUUAACAAGUCAACAUCAAUUUCUUUUGUUGUAAAAGGGUAAGAGGAAGGUGGCUUACGCUUCGGCGUAAGUGUUUAUAGCCUUUUACCUCUGCAAUCGGAGAGAUUGAGGACAGCAGCGUAGACUCUUCGGGGUUAGAUACACUUGUGCUAAGCUAUAGCCUUGUAUAGACAACUUGUUGACUAUGCUCAGUCAUGUAGCUUACUCGCUUGUGCUAUUUUACCUACGCUUAGGAUGUUGAAGUCAUCGUAUCGCGC